rnacentral:rRNA from 1 species
AUGGGGGCCGUCGCGGGUCGCGGUCGUGCAAGCGCGCCCGGCAUGACGCAGAGGCCUGCAGCUCCAGGAGGGCCGGCGUCGAGCCGUGGCGCUCCAAGCAGACACGCGAACGUGGCCGACUCUUCCGCAACAACAGCCAGGGCGCGUGGGAUUGCUUCUUCGAUCUCGACGAGGCGCUUUUCCCACACACGAAGAGGUGUCGGGAGGUGGACGAGGAGCUCCUGGCCGCGCAGAACGCGGUGGCGUCGUCGAACGGCGGAAAAGGAAGAGCACACAUACGCCCAUGCACGCUGGAGGUCGGCCGAGGCAUUUAACUCGGCGUCAAGAACUGAUUGGCUGGCCAUCCCUAGGUUUAAACCAGUUCGAUCUAUGUUUUCAUGCUACUAG